AUUAUUUAAAAAUUUAAAAUCUCUUUUUAACACUGAUAGAGUAUUAGAGUAUAUCAUUCCUAAGUUUAUAUCAGCUGAAAAAUAGAUAUAGAUGGUGUUGUUCCAAGGGCAAAGAGCAAAAAGCAUUCAAGACGUUUUCGAGCAGCCAAAGAUGCAGCGGAUGCGGUAUGCAUUCAGAUUUUAACUUUUCAACUUAGCUUCUUCUGAAUUGAAGUCAAUUGGUGGAUUAUGCUUUCUAGUGUUGAUGGUUAAUUGACUAAUCAAAGCAAGCCAGAUCUUAUCAAAGUGGAACAGCUUAUUCAGGCGGUAGGCGGUAUGAAGAUAAAAAUUUUCAGAAGAGUGCUCGAUUGCAUCAGGGUAAAAAUCGGUAUGGUGUUUGAAGAGGAGCCCAUUUAAGUUUAAAACGUGUUGAACCAGCUCGAAUCACUGGUACCAAGAUUGCAGUAGACUUGGAAUCUUGAAUCAUUCUAAGUCUUCCAAGAGCCGGUGCCCACAUACAUAUCAACUUGUUUGGGUGACAAAUACAUGUUGUCGUGAUCAAGAUUUUAAUGGUAGACUUGGAGUCAUGAAUCACUGUAAGUCUUUUAAGAGCCGAUGGCCACAUACAUUUUAUCUUGUUUGGGUCAUAAUAACAUGUUAGCGUUAGUAAACGAUUGCUGGUUGUAGUGUUAAACACGUAAACUUUCCUAUCAAAGUAGGAUGUGUCUUAGAAGUUAGCUGGUUUUCUCAGUUCUAUCUUGACUUUCUGAAUGACAUUGUGUUUGUCCUUUGAUUUUAGAAUGAGCACGGCAGAUUUGAUUGA